UACGUAGGGGGCUAGCGUUGUCCGGAAUCAUUGGGCGUAAAGCGCGUGUAGGCGGUCCGGUAAGUCCGCUGUGAAAGUCGGGGGCUCAACCCUCGAAUGCCGGUGGAUACUGUCGGGCUAGAGUGCGGAAGAGGCGAGUGGAAUUCCUGGUGUAGCGGUGAAAUGCGCAGAUAUCAGGAGGAACACCAAUUGCGAAGGCAGCUCGCUGGGACGUAACUGACGCUGAGACGCGAAAGCGUGGGGAGCAAACCGG
rnacentral:rRNA from 1 species